rnacentral:rRNA from 1 species
AUUGAACGCUGGCGGCAUGCCUAACACAUGCAAGUCGAGCGGAGCGGCGGACGGGUGAGUAAUGCCUAGGAAUCUGCCCGGUAGUGGGGGAUAACGUCCGGAAACGGGCGCUAAUACCGCAUACUAUUUGAUGAGCCUAGGUCGGAUUAGCUAGUUGGUGGGGUAAAGGCCUAACAAGUCGACGAUCCGUAACUGGUCUGAGAGGAUGAUCAGUCACACGGGGACUGAGACACGGUCCAGACUCCUACGUGAGGCAGCAGUGGGGAAUAUGGGACAAUGGGCGAAAGGCUGAUCCGGCCAUGCCGCGUGUGUGAAGAAGGUCUUCGGGUUGUAAAGCACUUUAAGUUGGGAAGCGUUACCAACAGAAUAAGCACCGGCUAACUUCGUACCAGCAGCCGCGGUAAUUC